GAUGAACGCUGGCGGCGUGCUUAACACAUGCAAGUCGAACGGAAAGGCUCCUGCUUGCCGUGGUACUCGAGUGGCGAACGGGUGAGUAACCCGUGGGUGAUCUUCCCUGCACUUCGUGAUAAGCCUGGGAAACUGGGUCUAAUACCGGAUAGGACGAUGGUUUGGAUGCCAUUGUGGAAAGUUUUUUCUGUGGGGGAUGGGUUCGCGGCCUAUCAGCUUUUUGGUGGGGUAAUGGCAUACCAAGGCGUAGACGGGUAGCCGGCAUGAGAGGGUGGACGGGCACAUUGGGACUGAGAGACGGCCCAGACUCCUACGGGAGGCAGCAGGGGGGAAUAUGGCACAAUGGGCGCAAGCCUGAUGCAGCGACGCUGCGUGGGGGAUGACGGCCUUCGGGUUGUAAACUCCUUUAGCUAGGGACGAAGCGCAAGUGACGGUACCUGGAGAAGAAGCACCGGCUAACUACGUG
rnacentral:rRNA from 1 species